CUCUUUAAUAAUAAACUUUUACAAUAAAAACAUUAAGUAAAAUAAUAAUAUUUUUAAAUAUAAUUUUUUAAACUACGACAUGACAAAAAUACGCAAAAAUAAAAUAAAACAUUACCUUAAAAAAAUUUACUUUACCCUUAACAUAUUUUUUAAAUAUAUUAAUAAGGGUUAAUUUAAUACAGGUCCCUACAAACAUAGUAAAUGACAAAUAUAUUUCUGCAAAAUUCAACUUUAUAUGUUGUCCCUACAAAAAUUCUGUUGUCAAAUAUGUCUCUAUUGUUUGCUAUCGUUAGAAAACCAUUAAAAAAAUAUUUAUAUUUUCAAUUUUACUAUCACAAAUAUAUUUCUUCAAAAGUCAUAACAGUAUAAUAUAAGAGGAGUGAAAAUGUCAAAAACUAAUCAGAAUUAAGUAUUUAACCAAUGAUUAAUUAAUUUUUUCUAACAAAUUCUAACGACAUAAACAUAUUUGAAAAUAUCGGAACUUUUAUAGAAACAACAUAUAAGAGUUGAAUUUUAUAGAAAUAUCUCCAUCAUUUACUAUAUUUACAUGUAUCUAUAUAUAAAAUUAACCCAUAUUAAUAAUAAAUAAGCAUAGAGGCAGCUGGAUAAUAUCAUCUCACCAGUAUCCACGUGGCAAUUAAAAAAAAAAAAAACUACUGCGCGUGCAAACACAUGCGGGCCACGUGUCACGUAGCGCAUCGGACGCAAAGAUUCCCGACAAAAAUCCCCGUUCACACGUAUCGCGAUCCCCCGCGCGGGGCGGCGCCGACGUGGCACCUUCGGUGUGAGGGCCUCGGGCUGCGUGACGUCGCACCGGUCUUUAGUAGGAGAUCAUAUUUGCUGACACGUAGGAACCCGGUUAGCCGUCCCACGUGGCGUUGACCGUUGACCCUCCCAUCACCACCACCUAUAAAUACGUAGCCGAUCCUCCUCCAAUUGAACCUUCGCCGUAGCACUAAAUUCCACACCAAAUAACCCCCCAAAAAAAAAGAAAAAAAAAAAGAAGCAAAUUGAAUCGUUCUAGCGAGGGAAAGAAGAGAGAAGGUAUGGGGAAUUGUAUCGACUCCCGAGGCGGCGCGACGUGGGUCGACGACGACGACUGGGGAUUCUCCGACGAGGAUGAGCGCAAGAGGAGUCCGUUGCUCGGAAAGAAGGGAUCGGCGGCGGCGGAGGCGGCGGCGGUAGGCCCGAGAGAGGUGAAGAUUAAGAUCACGAAGAAACAGCUGCGAGAAUUGUUACGAAAGGCCGAAGGCAAAGGGGUGCCAGCCGACGAGGUCGUGGCGGAGCUUGCCUGGUUUGUUGAGUUCGGCCGCGAACAUCGCGAAUCGCAUUGGAAGCCCGCGUUACAAAGUAUACCGGAGACCGGAGAGUAAUGAAAAUGAAAAGGAAAAAAAAAUUGUAGCAAUGAUGAUGAUAAGUUUGGUUCUUUGAUUCUUUUUAGAAAUUUUUUCUUUUAUGUUUUUAGCAGCAUUUGUGGAGUACCGCUUUUUAGCAGUUUCUCCUUUGGAGGGUGGACGUGUAGAUUUGCAUAAGGUAGUGUAAAUAUAUAGAUUUGGAAGGAGAAAUGGGGAGGGGGGAUAUGUUGGUUUUUCCAUUGUAUAGAUCGUAGGUUCGUAUCUAUGUAUUACGGAUAUUUCUAUAAGUCUUGAGGAUUCGUGUCGGACUCAUAUCCGAUGUGGACAUUUUUUAGACACGCGUUCAAUAGUUAUCUAUGGCGCAUACAUUUUAAAUAUAUAUAUAUAUAGUGAGUUUACUAUGCUUUUGGAAGCACGGAGCCUUCCGUACUUUUAGGUCAUUUUCGAAGUUGCGACUUUCGAAUCGUCGAUCGGCUCCAUUAAACUUGAUCUAGAGUAUUUGAAGUAACUAGAAAAUAAAUUUUAUGGUUUUUUGAUAUCAUUUGUCUAGUGAUCAAAAGGGCUCAAAAUCAAUAAUUUUAAUGGCCAUAGUGAACCGUUUGUAAGUUUAACGGUGUAGAAAUAUCCAAAUCACAUGAAAUUUUGAUAGAAAAUUCUUUAUACUAUAUAAAACAAGAUCAAUAUCUUUGAUUUAAAAUUUUAAUGUCAUAUUAUCAAGUUUUGUAAGAUUUUUAUUUUCAGCCGUUGAUUUUGAGCCCCUUUGUUCAUUAGGCAAAUAAUAUCGAAAAAUAGCAUAAUUUAUUUUCUAGGUACUUCAAAUACUCUAGAUCAAGUUUAACGGAGCCGAUUGACGAUUCGAAAGUCGCAACAUAGAAAACAACUGGAAGCACGGAAGGCUCCGUGCUUCCAGAAGCAUAGUAGCCUCGCUCUCUUUCUCUCUCUAUAUAUAUAUAUUUAUUUUAUCUUUUUUAUACAUAUCCUAUAUAAAUGAUUAAUAUUUUAGCUUUUUGAUGAUUGCAGAUAAAUUAUUUUGGACAAUAUAAAUAAAUUUGAUCACACCUUGACCUCUCCACUGAUAUGCCAUGCAUGUUCAUUCUUUCAUUAAAUAAUACAUAUAUACAUCUUAAGAGAGAGAAUGAUAUAGAAAAAUAUAAUUGAUUGGUUAUAUAUCAUGUGGACAAUUUAAAUUUUUGAGAUAAUACAUAGUGUUUAGAAUCUAAUUAGUAAGUAGUGAACUUGAAUAGAUGAGCACAUAAUAGCAUCUAGUAUGAAAAUUCUUCCUGAAUAUAAUAUAAAAUAAAGAGUCCUACUAUAUUUUAUUUGUUUAAGCUAUUAAUUAAAAUAAUCCAAUUUUUCACAUGAUAUAUCAAGUCCUUUUUUUUAUUUAUAUUCUCCAAUUAUUUUCGUUAUAUUCUAAAAUUUCAUUUAAACAAAUAAGUACUAGAGCUAUUAAAAUCUUCAGAAUAUGUAAAAACAAAAGCUAAAAUUUCUAUGCAAUCUUAUUUAAAACAAUUAAAUAAAUAAAUUUUUGAUUUAGUGACAAGAGAUAAAAAUAAAAGAGAGAUUUGGUAUACAAUAACUAAAUCUAUCUAUAACCAAAUCUGAUAAUAUAAUUUUAUGUACUAUUAUUAAAAAUAAUGAUCUCUACAUAUAAUCGGAUUUUAAAUUUUUUAUAUUUCUUUUUACAAACUGAUUCAUUUUUUUAUUUUUUUUAGUUUACUUUUUUUUUUUAAAGAAAUAUCAAAAUGCAGCACACGGUUUAAGGACUAGUCCGCAGUAUAUUGCAUGCCGACAAAAGUACGACAAAGUAGUUGAUUGUAAGUUUCCGCAUAGAAACUUCUAUGCGUAUGUCACGAAAAGAUAAAAUUAGAAUUUAGCGGAAUCACCGGCCGUCCCUAGAACAAGUCGCAAAGGGCUCGGUGAUUGGUACCCGAGACUCAAGUUCGAAUCCUAGUUGAUUCACAUUUCCAGCUGAGUUUAUUUCUAAAUGAAAUAAAUGAAACGGAUAGCAUGCUACCUAUUUCUCCAAAAAAAAAAAAAAAAAAAAAUUAGCGAAAUCAUACUCAUUCUAUUUUCUCUAGAAAUUUUUUUUGUAUAUCCCUUCUAGAAUAAUAAUAACAUUAACAUUAACAAUCACCAUGAUUUAGAAUGUUAUAAGUAAGAUUAUUUAUUUAUUUAUUUUGAAGAGGUUAAUACCCUAAAUUAGGCGAAUUAAUUACCAAAAUGUCUAAAACACAUUAAAAUACGUACCCAAUAAGUUAUUUUUAUAGAGUUGUCACUUAGUAAUCUAGCUUGUUUACUGAUGUAUCAAUAAUAUUCUCGAUAAUAUGAAUAAUAUUAUACUAUUGUAAAUAAAACUGAAAUCAGAUGAAGAGAGCACUAAUAGACCAUUUCGUAAUCAAGGUGGGUCGACUAAACAUUAAUUUCGUGUUAUAGUCAUAGAUUCUGGGAAGAAACUACGUUCACACUCGCCAGGAAAAAGGAAGAUCCUUUCGCUGGCUCCUGUUUCACACCGUACAAUUAAUCAUUGUUACAUUUAGCUUAAUUUAAUUUACUUGGUUUUGUUCACUUACCAAUUAUACAAAUCCAUCCCACUGUUUUCGAAAAUGAGAGGUUUUCAGAAGAGUUAUCAAUAAUGGCUCAAAUAAAGUUUAUCAAAAGACUUAUUAAUUUUUGUAUGCUCAAAUUAAUUGACAUGGUCUUGGUAUUAUUAAUUGGUCAUUAUUAGUGAAAAAAUUAUGAAAAAUAAUUAUAUUAAUAGAUUUAAAUUAAGGGUAAAUUUUAAUUUGAUCUUCAUACAGGAUAACAUAUUUUCACUUUGCUACUCUUCCAACGAAAAAACCUAAAUUUUAAAAUCAUAAGGUGCUACACUCUUUAAAAUAAUAUUUUAAACUAUGACAUGACAAGGUAAAAAUACACAAAAGUAAGAUAAGACAUUACCCUCAAAAGAAUUUACUUUACCCUUAACAUAUUUUUUAAAUAUAUAAAUAAGGGUUAAUUUCAUACACGUCAUGAAUGGCAAAUAUAUUUCUGUAAAAUUCAACUUCUAUAUGUUGUUUCUAUAAAAAUUCUGUUACUUUCAAAUAUGUCACUCUGAUUUAUUACCGUUAGAGAACCAUUAAAGAAAUAUUUAUAUUUUCAAUUAUGUCAUUACAAAUAUGUUCCUUCAAAAAUAUAACAGUAUAAUAUAAGAUAAAUAAAAAUUUCAAAAAUUAAUCAAAGUUAAGUAUUUAAUCUAUAGAUAACUUAAUUUUUCUAACGAAUUCUAACGAUAAGAAUAUAUUUGAAAAUAUCAAAACUUUUAUAAGAACUAUAUAUAAAAAUUUAAUUUUAAAUAAAUAUAUUUAUCAUUCACUAUAUAUAUCUGCAGUAUCUAUAUAAAAUUAGCCGUUAUUAAUAAAU
rnacentral:lncRNA from 1 species